UACGGAAGGCAGCAGUGGGGAAUAUUGCACAAUGGGCGCAAGCCUGAUGCAGCCAUGCCGCGUGUAUGAAGAAGGCCUUCGGGUUGUAAAGUACUUUUCAGUCGUGAGGAAGGUGUUAAGGUUAAUAACCUUAGCAAUUGACGUUAGCGACAGAAGAAGCACCGGCUAACUCCGUGCCAGCAGCCGCGGUAAUACGGAGGGUGCGAGCGUUAAUCGGAAUUACUGGGCGUAAAGGGCACGCAGGCGGUUAAUUAAGUUGGAUGUGAAAUCCCCGGGCUUAACCUGGGAAUGGCAUUCAAGACUGGUUAGCUAGAGUCUUGUAGAGGGGGUAGAAUUCCGAUGUGUAGCGGUGAAAUGCGUAGAGAUGUGGAGGAAUACCGGUGCGAAGGCGGCCCCUGGGACAAAGGCUGACGCUCAUGUGCGAAAGCGUGGGGAGCAAAC
rnacentral:rRNA from 1 species